GUGGGGAAUAUUGGACAAUGGGCGAAAGCCUGAUCCAGCCAUGCCGCGUGUGUGAAGAAGGUCUUCGGAUUGUAAAGCACUUUAAGUUGGGAGGAAGGGUAGUAACCUAAUACGUUGCUACUUUGACGUUACCGACAGAAUAAGCACCGGCUAACUUCGUGCCAGCAGCCGCGGUAAUACGAAGGGUGCAAGCGUUAAUCGUAAUUACUGGGCGUAAAGCGCGCGUAGGUGGUUCAGUAAGUUGGAAGUGAAAUCCCCGGGCUCAACCUGGGAACUGCUUUCAAAACUGCUGAGCUAGAGUACGGUAGAGGGUGGUGGAAUUUCCUGUGUAGCGGUGAAAUGCGUAGAUAUAGGAAGGAACACCAGUGGCGAAGGCGACCACCUGGACUGAUACUGACACUGAGGUGCGAAAGCGUGGGGAGCAAACAGGAUUAGAUACACCUGUAGUCC
rnacentral:rRNA from 1 species